rnacentral:rRNA from 1 species
UUAAAUUGAAGAGUUUGAUCAUGGCUCAGAUUGAACGCUGGCGGCAGGCCUAACACAUGCAAGUCGAACGGUAACAGGAAGCAGCUUGCUUCUUUGCUGACGAGUGGCGGACGGGUGAGUAAUGUCUGGGAAACUGCCUGAUGGAGGGGGAUAACUACUGGAAACGGUAGCUAAUACCGCAUAACGUCGCAAGACCAAAGAGGGGGACCUUCGGGCCUCUUGCCAUCGGAUGUGCCCAGAUGGGAUUAGCUUGUUGGUGGGGUAACGGCUCACCAAGGCGACGAUCCCUAGCUGGUCUGAGAGGAUGACCAGCCACACUGGAACUGAGACACGGUCCAGACUCCUACGGGAGGCAGCAGUGGGGAAUAUUGCACAAUGGGCGCAAGCCUGAUGCAGCCAUGCCGCGUGUAUGAAGAAGGCCUUCGGGUUGUAAAGUACUUUCAGCGGGGAGGAAGGGAGUAAAGUUAAUACCUUUGCUCAUUGACGUUACCCGCAGAAGAAGCACCGGCUAACUCCGUGCCAGCAGCCGCGGUAAUACGGAGGGUGCAAGCGUUAAUCGGAAUUACUGGGCGUAAAGCGCACGCAGGCGGUUUGUUAAGUCAGAUGUGAAAUCCCCGGGCUCAACCUGGGAACUGCAUCUGAUACUGGCAAGCUUGAGUCUCGUAGAGGGGGGUAGAAUUCCAGGUGUAGCGGUGAAAUGCGUAGAGAUCUGGAGGAAUACCGGUGGCGAAGGCGGCCCCCUGGACGAAGACUGACGCUCAGGUGCGAAAGCGUGGGGAGCAAACAGGAUUAGAUACCCUGGUAGUCCACGCCGUAAACGAUGUCGACUUGGAGGUUGUGCCCUUGAGGCGUGGCUUCCGGAGCUAACGCGUUAAGUCGACCGCCUGGGGAGUACGGCCGCAAGGUUAAAACUCAAAUGAAUUGACGGGGGCCCGCACAAGCGGUGGAGCAUGUGGUUUAAUUCGAUGCAACGCGAAGAACCUUACCUGGUCUUGACAUCCACAGAACUUUCCAGAGAUGGAUUGGUGCCUUCGGGAACUGUGAGACAGGUGCUGCAUGGCUGUCGUCAGCUCGUGUUGUGAAAUGUUGGGUUAAGUCCCGCAACGAGCGCAACCCUUAUCCUUUGUUGCCAGCGGUCCGGCCGGGAACUCAAAGGAGACUGCCAGUGAUAAACUGGAGGAAGGUGGGGAUGACGUCAAGUCAUCAUGGCCCUUACGACCAGGGCUACACACGUGCUACAAUGGCGCAUACAAAGAGAAGCGACCUCGCGAGAGCAAGCGGACCUCAUAAAGUGCGUCGUAGUCCGGAUUGGAGUCUGCAACUCGACUCCAUGAAGUCGGAAUCGCUAGUAAUCGUGGAUCAGAAUGCCACGGUGAAUACGUUCCCGGGCCUUGUACACACCGCCCGUCACACCAUGGGAGUGGGUUGCAAAAGAAGUAGGUAGCUUAACCUUCGGGAGGGCGCUUACCACUUUGUGAUUCAUGACUGGGGUGAAGUCGUAACAAGGUAACCGUAGGGGAACCUGCGGUUGGAUCACCUCCUUACCUUAAAGAAGC